ensembl:lncRNA ly6/PLAUR domain-containing protein 3-like
GCAUUACUGGUUCUAAGCUUGGGUUUCAGAAGGAUCAAGAGCAGGCACCCAAGCAAUCUAGCAAUCAAGGAGAGCUCAGUAUGUAGAGCUGCAGUUCAAAUUUUGGGGUUGAAUACAGUAGUAUCAACUCUUAGCAUAGGGCAGACAAUGGAAAUAUACUAUGAUUCUCCUCUAGAGUAAGACCUGUGGGCAUCCACUCAGACAAGGAGGCAGGGCAGGGAAAGCCUGUCUGAAAAGAAAAGAAAUGUCUUUAUCUGCUUGUAGGAGAACAGCAGCAAAGUCGGGGCGAGCCUGACUUCCAGUGGGAGAGAGUUCCGCAGUCUGGAAGCAGAGACAAAGAAAGCCCUCUCCUGUGUCCCUACCAAACACACCUGUGAAGGUAGUGGGACCAAGAGGAAGGCUUCCCAUUGGUGAUCUUAACACCUGAGCAGGCUCAUAAAGGGAGACACAGUCCCAUAGCUUGGGAAAUGGAUCGGCAGUCGGUGGAGGGAGGAAUUAUGUGAUUCCUCUAAUACCUCCAGUUAACUCGGUAGCCAGUAUCCUGAUGUUUGGGGUCUGCUUCCCCUUGCUACCACAACAACGAUUGGGCCAUUUCUCUUCCUUCCUCAGGAAACCAAUGCUUGUAUAAUCUUGCUGGAACAUUUGCACACAUGAUAAAUAACCAAGCUCACUCUUCGAUCGCAGAUCUUUUUGCUCUUCAAUUUUUUUCUUGGCUUAUAGUCCACAGGAUGGCGAGCCCUGCGCUGAGAUGCAAGGCCGCAACAGGAUUCCUGACGAUGAUCUUUCUUCUUCCAGGAACGUAUGCCUUGGAAUGUUAUACAUUUACCUCCUUUCAGCAGUUUGAUUCUAAGGGCAGGUGUGGAUUUGAGCACGCCACCGUCGCCCGUAAUUCGACCUGUUCCUCUGGCAAUGAUGUUUGCCUAAGCGCGGAAUUUGAACUCGGCACCGAUGAAAACACUCUGCUGGUAAGCUAUAGAGGCUGCUUCGCUAAGAAUCCUAGAGAUGCAGAAGGAGCAACUAUUUUUGGCCACCAAUACUUUGCCAUCCAAUCCAACCUCAGCUAUUGCUACCAGGACUUUUGCAACAUCAGAUCAGCCUCUGCAGAGUUUCCAAAAACUACCAGCAAGGGCACAGAAGCGUCUCAUCCAAAUGGCUCCAUCCAUUGCUAUUCUGGCCAAAACCACAACGCCUCUGAACUCACCUUGGAGAAAGUGGCUUGCAGCAACCGCUCUGACCUUUGCUACCAAGGCCGUCAUGCCAUCAAAGUUGGAAACACCACUCAGGUCUUCUACAUCAGGAGCUGCCAGAACCCUUCUUGUGAUGUACCUAAGCACCGCGUCUUUGGUCCUGUGGAACUCGAAUUCCUGGAAGGCUCCUGCUGCUCUGGAAGCAAUUGCAAUGGGAAAAAAGGCACAUCUGAGGUCUCAAAUGACAUCAUAUCAGGGCCCACAGGUGGCCCUUAUGGUGGAGGUGCUGGCAGUCCCACCACCAAUUUCACUGACUCAGACGGAACCUCCAAGGAGGAUUCCGACUAUGAUACUGAGAGUGAUGAUGACACCGUAUCUGAAAAAACGCCCAAUUCCCCAAUUCAUCCACGAGCCCCUGGGCCAAAAUCCAAAGGGUCUUCCUUUCAAUUCUGCCCCCUACUGUUAGCCAUUGGAAUGACAGUCAUUGAGCUAGGCUGGUGAGAAAUGAGCUGGAAGGGUGUCUUUUUGUUUCGAUGUUCUGUCCUCAGUUUUGGAAAGUGGUGUGUUUCAUGGGGGGGGAGGAACAUGGGAGGGUUACCUUUAAGGUAUGAAAGAUACCCAUGGGGCAAUAAUCAGAACCUGGAAAUAACACAUCAUACAUAAUCACCUACGUAUAAUUAAUUCCUUUUAUGCAACAACAUAGAUAACAUUCUCUGUAGCUCUGUAGUGCAACAGCAAAAAGAUUCUUCUAUCCUUUUUGCUGUGGAAGUGCAACUGAUUUACUUCUAUAGUUACGUGGGUGGGUUUUCGGUAUCUUUUGCAGCAUCAAACAACUAUUUGUCACACCUUGAUUUUUUUAUUUUUUUAAAAAGCAAAACAAUUAAUGCAAUUGCAUCAGUUAGGUUUGAAUAAUAAGGAAACAAUUAGUUGACAUUGACUUUGUGGUAGUCCCAAGUCCUUCAUUAGGUAACUGGAAGUAAGUCUUAUUUUCUUUUCAAGUUCCAACUGGGAUACAGGCAUCUAUCUGAGGUCAGAAGCUUCAGCUGGGCUUUACUUUGGCUUCCUUAUUUUCUUUCCAUAAAAGUUCCGCCUCAGCAGGAAACAUGAUCGGAUCACUGAAACAUCAACAUAGGUGGAUGGAAGCAAAGUCACCCCUGUUCCUACCAGCUUUGAUACAUUGGUUGCCUACCUACUCGUUUCUAGGCAUAAUUUAAAUAGCUCAUGAUGACUUAGUAAAAUCUAGAUUCGGAGUGGACAACUCCAUGGCGCUGCGGGGUACAGUGUCCCCCCUCCUCCACCAGGAUGACAAUGUAUCAGGGCCUGUCAGGAUCUCUUACAUUGCUGUGAAAUUUGGCAGUAGCUACUCGUUUUAUUACUGUUUUUCCAGCCCUUUGCUCCCCAAAUUUGCUCUCCGGUUUUAACAGACCUGACCAGAUACCGUCGUGCCUCGCUUUACGAUUGCCCCGUAUAACGACGAAUCCGCUUAACAAUGCCUUUUUUGCAAUCGCAAAAGAGAUUGAAAAACGAUGCUUCCUAUGGACAAAAUCCUGCUUCAGGAACCGAUUUUUUGCAUUAUGACGAUCAGCAAAAAGCUGAUCGUCAGGUUCAAAAAUGGCCACCGUCUGAAGAAAAUGGCACCCUGCUGUUUUCUAGGACAGAUUCCUCGCUAGACAGGCACCGAAAAUGGCCGCCGUAUGGAGGAUCCUCGCUGGACGGUGAGUUUUUAGCCCAUUGGAACACAUUAACCAGGUUUUAUUUUCGCUUUAUGAUGUUUUCGCUCUGCAACGAUUUCAGUGCAACGAAUUAACAUUGUUAAGCGAGGCACCACUGCAUUUGGGAAGUCAAGGUUACAGACAAGGAUGUAGUAACUGAUUCAACCAUUAGAGGGCAAGGUCAUCCCACCAUCUUCUCCAUAGGCAAGUCAGAUGGUCUGUCCAGAUCUCUAGUUAUUAACUAAGUUUGAAAAAGUUACUUUUUAGGAACUAGUACUCUCAACAUCAACCAGCUUAGCUGGGAUUUGUAUUUCAGAAACUUUUCCCAGUUCUGAUUAUUAGGCCUAAAUAUACCAUGGAGUGAUGUAUUUUUGAUUCAUUUCAAUACAAUAUUUUAUUUUUAAUAAAAUGCACACACACUACUGAUUUAUUACA